UACUAUGAUGAACACGAGCCAGAAGGCUCUACUAUAUAAACCCAGCUCUUUGAGCCCUCAUGGGCAUGAAACGAGAAAUCCGUUCUGAUA
rnacentral:snoRNA from 1 species